UUGUAAAGCACUUUAGGUGGGGAAGAAGGCACAUAUUUUAAGAGAUAAUAUGUUUGACGGUACCCACAGAAUAAGCACCGGCUAACUCUGUGC
rnacentral:rRNA from 1 species